rnacentral:rRNA from 1 species
UAUUCUGAAGUUAGGAUUCUCGAAAACGACACCUAAGUUUUCUGGAAAGGAAUGCCACAGAGGGUGAUAGCCCCGUACGGUGUUGACUCGAUACAGAGUCCUAACAUGGAGUCGAGUUGUUUGGGAAUGCAGCUCAAAUGGGUGGUAUGCUCCAUCUAAGGCUAAAUAUUUGCGAGAGACCGAUAGCGAACAAGUACUGUGAAGGAAAGAUGAAAAGAACUUUGAAAAGAGAGUGAAAUAGUACGUGAAAUUGUUGAAAUGGAAGGGUAGGCCGCUAACCAUGUAGGACCGUGUUUGGGGGGAAGAUAAAUGCUGUAGAAUGUGGCUCCUCGGAGUGUUAUAGCUA